UACGGAGGGUGCAAGCGUUAUCCGGAUUCACUGGGCUUAAAGGGUGCGUAGGUGGGUUGGUAAGUCAGUGGUGAAAUCCCCGAGCUUAACUUGGGAACUGCCGUUGAUACUAUCUGUCUUGAAUACCGUGGAGGUGAGCGGAAUAUGUCACGUAGCGGUGAAAUGCUUAGAUAUGACAUAGAACACCAAUUGCGAAGGCAGCUCGCUACACGAAUAUUGACUCUGAGGCACGAAAGCGUGGGGAUCAAACAGG
rnacentral:rRNA from 1 species